UAAUUUUAUAGAUAUUCUAUUGUACAAAGUUUUUCUUUGUUCAAAUUUGAGGUUAAACAUAUGAAUGCUCAUUUAAACAACUACGAAAGUCCUGACCCUAAUA